rnacentral:rRNA from 1 species
GACGAACGCUGGCGGCGUGCUUAACACAUGCAAGUCGAACGGAAAGGCCCUGCUUUUGUGGGGUGCUCGAGUGGCGAACGGGUGAGUAACACGUGAGUAACCUGCCCUUGACUUUGGGAUAACUUCAGGAAACUGGGGCUAAUACCGGAUAGGAGCUCCUGCUGCAUGGUGGGGGUUGGAAAGUUUCGGCGGUUGGGGAUGGACUCGCGGCUUAUCAGCUUGUUGGUGGGGUAGUGGCUUACCAAGGCUUUGACGGGUAGCCGGCCUGAGAGGGUGACCGGCCACAUUGGGACUGAGAUACGGCCCAGACUCCUACGGGAGGCAGCAGGGGGGAAUAUUGCACAAUGGGGGGAAGCCUGAUGCAGAGACCCCGCGUGCGGGAUGACGGCCUUCGGGUUGUAAACCGCUUUCGCCUGUGACGAAGCGUGAGUGACGGUAAUGGGUAAAGAAGCACCGGCUAACUACGUG